UACGGAGGGUGCAAGCGUUAUCCGGAUUCACUGGGUUUAAAGGGUGCGUAGGAGGGCAGGUAAGUCAGUGGUGAAAUCUCCGGGCUCAACUCGGAAACUGCCGUUGAUACUAUCUGUCUUGAAUAUUGUGGAGGUGAGCGGAAUAUGUCAUGUAGCGGUGAAAUGCUUAGAUAUGACAUAGAACACCAAUUGCGAAGGCAGCUCGCUACACAUAUAUUGACUCUGAGGCACGAAAGCGUGGGGAUCAAACAGG
rnacentral:rRNA from 1 species